GUUGUUGCAAUGCAAUCCAGAACUUCGUUCAAUAUUGCACAAUUCUGAUCAAUAGGAGGAUGUAUUAUACAAAUAUGGAAAUAUAUCCAUAAAGGGACAACCGUUUUUUUUUUUUUUUUUUAAAAAUCCUUUAAGGCUUUAUCUCACUAAAAUCUCUUGCAACCACGUCUCUUUUACGCUGCAUGGUGCGUUAAAACGCGCGUUUCAUCCAUAAAAACAAACAGGAGCGUUGAGCAAGGGGACUUGCGCGUUACGCAGCAGAAGUAUAUGGAUAGAUAAGUUGCAUGGUCGCAUCGAUUUCGCUUUCGUGCACAACGGUGUCCUCGUUUUGUCACUUCAACCGAAUCCUUUCUGCUUAGACAAACAAUCAGCACUUGCCUACAAGCUGUCAAAUCCGUUAACGUCCCGUAGCCUAUACAGCACGAUCGCCCAGCCCGUUAUGUUCAGCAGCGCUACAGUCCCCAUAAACAUCAGCUUCGGAGCCGAUCGUGUCUCCCACUCCAAAUACGAGUCAGUCCUCCGCUUGUAUCCUUCAUUUGGCUCUGUACAGCAACCAGCCACCGCGAGGAAUCACUGCAGACGUAGCCUAUAGAGUCAGACUGAAAUCUUCCAGUGAACGUGCAGUCACUCAGAGAGCUCGAUACCAAGGGACGGGUCCGGAGAGGAGCCAGAAGCGCGCUUCAUUCUUGAGGAAUCUCAGAGAAGUUGCCUCAUGCUCGCCUCGUUCCGCGAGGCUGCACAUGAUGGAAGAUCCAAAUGAUUUUAUGAGUCUAUUGAUCCACUGGGACCCCGACAGUUCAAGUCGAAAAGCGGUGCUCACAAAAUCAGGGCAUCCUGAGAGAAAAGCAGCCGAAAUGAAGGGAAGUGUGAGCGGAAUCUGCUUCGUUUUACAUCGCAGAACAGCGCCAUUGUCAUAGUUCUGCAGCAACAAGGAGUUUCCUACUUAUCUCACAGAGGCAUAGAUGUAAAAGAUACACGUUUCACUGCAGUAAUGCUUCUCAAAUACUGACUCAAAUGACCCAAAUUUGUCAUGGAGGGUGUCAGCAUCAUGCAAACUCUGAUGCCUAAUCAAAUGAUUCAUCCUGAAAGGAAUGAUCA
ensembl:lncRNA